CGCACAUGUACGUCACGACCCCGAAUCCGAGCGGUAAUUCGUCCUCUCUCUCUGACUCCGACACGAUGCAACGGCCCGUUUCGUUUCCAUGUUUACCCAGGACCAACGUCAAGGCAAUUGUAAUGAUGAAAUGGAACUGUUUCGUGAACAGUGUGAGCAUCAAAUACCCCGGCGAAUGAGUAUACAAUGUGACGGCGAUACAAUUGCGACUGCUUCAGGCCAUGGUGCAAUUGGCAUUUACAACAUCAGAGAUGGUCAAUUGCACGGGCGACUGCAGGGGCAUAAAAGUGCAGUUUGGUCUUUUCAUUAUUUCAAGGUAAAUAUCCUUAAUGAGGGCGAUCUAUGCGUUUCUAAGCCACGCAGGCCCCGUCAGAUGUGUUAUGCAGACAUUAAAGGGCCGGCUUGAGAUGAAAGGACGCAGACCAUUAGCCAGAUGUGCCGCUGAUUGCGUCCGGAUCGAGAGAUGCCACCCAUGCCACCCUUCGAAUAUGAGGGCUACCUAAAGCGGAUGAAGAUUUGCCUCGACAUGCCACUGUAUGUCUUCAAUUUCAUCUGUUGAGAUCUCCCCAAGUUGGUUGACGAGAAUCAUGAUAUGAAUGACGUGUCUGUGCCCAUUGUAGCUCCCGUACGCAACCUUUUCCACAUGCACUUCCUCGAGGGCCAUCCUUUUGUUAUUCUAGACAUCGAUGAGCAUGGGGAAUUUUCUGUUUCUGGGCCUUACAAUAUGAAUGUAAGGUUUGGGAUAUUGUCAAGGGAACUUGCCUGCAUGUUCUAACUGGGUACCAAUGUAAAAUUAAGUUCCAAAAGCCCAAAGAUGAGAAAAAAAGCGCUCACGGAUGAGAUAUGGUUUGCAGUGCUGACUAUAAUGCUCAAAGAGGGAGACGAGCUUCCGGCUCAACGGACCAUACCAUAAGUGUCUAGGACGUGUCCUCCCAGGAGUGUCUCCACACGGUUGAGCACCAUACGUCAGUCGUUGGCCUGCUGAGCCCCAUCCCUGAACUACCCUGUCUCUGCUUCUGCAGACUCUUGCCUACUCCCCGCGUCUGGGACAGUCAGACAUAUCAGCUCGUGCAUAUCUUUUCGACUAAAGGGGGCGCGCUGAUAUGCGUUCAGCACGUCGACAUUAAAUACUUUUUGGACGCGACAGGGGCUAAGAUCGUGAGAUAUAAGAAGCGGAGAUUUGAUCCAGGAUUUAUGGUGGAUAGCAAUUCGAUUUGGCAAACGGCAUUGAACAAAGAUUUGGGCACCAUGGCUUCCAACAAAGAUGGCUCGACCAUCUUUGAUGUCUUCAACUUUGCUUGACCAUAAAAUAGCAUCAUUGUCGACAGAAUAUCCAUAGUAUCAAGCUCCAUAUACAUUGGCUGAUUAUGCUACCCUCAUGACCUAUCUAUGAGCUAAAUGGUGUGAUACAUAUCACAGCAGGCCUUUCAAC